GUAGGGGGCGUGAGAGCGUGGCCCCCCACACUGGCACUGAGAUACGGGCCAGACUCCUACGGGAGGCAGCAGUGAGGAAUAUUGCACAAUGGGCGCAAGCCUGAUGCAGCAACGCCGCGUGCGGGACGAAGGCCUUCGGGUCGUAAACCGCUUUUCUGGGGAAAGAGCAAGGACGGUACCUCAGGAAUAAGUCUCGGCUAACUACGUGCCAGCAGCCGCGGUAAAACGUAGGAGGCGAGCGUUAUCCGGAUUUACUGGGCGUAAAGCGCACGCAGGCGGCUCCGUGAGUCGGACGUGAAAGCUCUCGGCUUAACCGGGAGAGGCCGUUCGAUACUGCGGGGCUUGAGGUAGGGAGAGGAAUGCGGAAUUCCCGGUGUAGUGGUGGAAUGCGUAGAUAUCGGGAGGAACACCUGUGGCGAAAGCGGCAUUCUGGCCCUCACCUGACGCUGAGGUGCGAAAGCGUGGGUAGCAAACAGGAUUAGAUACCCUGGUAGUCCACGCCGUAAACGAUGUCAACUGGGUGUCGGUAGUUUUACACUAGCGGUGCCGAAGCUAACGCG
rnacentral:rRNA from 1 species